AAAGAUAAUCUAAGUGAUAUUUCCCCGAAAACAUAAGAUCUAAGUGUAAUAUUAAUUAUAGGUAAAAAUUUAAAGUGCUGUGGCAUCAGUAUAUAAUAAAUAGUACCUUAGUGGUGAAAGGCCUACAAUUAUGUGGAUAACUGGAUAGUUAUUAAAUAUAUUAAGUUUAUAAUAAACUUACGAAGUGAUAAGAUUUCGUAAUAAGAAUUUAAGGUUUUAUUUAAAAUUACUAUUAAUUAAUACUUAACAGUGCUAUAUUCUUGUUAAAAUAAUUUUACAAAUAAAUAUUCUCUAGUAAUAACUUAUUUAUUUUUAAUUUAUUAAAAAUUUGAUAAUGUAUAAAUAAGUAUACUAUAUAAAUUUAACUAAAUAAACUCGGCAAAUAUUGUAUACGACUGUUUAACAAAAACAUAGCCGGUAGUUAUUAUAUUAUCGGUGUAACCUGCCCGGUGAAUUUUUAACGGCCGCAGUACUGUGACUGUGCAAAGGUAGCAUAAUCAUUUGACUUUUAAUUGAAGUCUGGUAUGAAAGGAUAAACGUAUAUAAGCUGUAUCUAGGUUUAAAUUUGUUUAAAUUAUUUAUAGGGUGAAAAUACCCUAAAUGACAAAAAUAGACGAGAAGACCCUUAGAAUUUUAAGAAUAAGUAUAAAAUAAAUAUAAGAUGAUUUUUGUUGGGGCAACAUUUUUUCAUAUAAUAAAAAUUUUUAUAUUACAAUAUAACGAAAAAUUUAAUAAAGAAAAAAUUACCUUAGGGAUAACAGCAUAAUUUUAAGUAAAGAUUGUGACCUCGAUGUUGGACUAGGAAUUAUUAAGGCUAGUUGUUUUAAUACAAUAUGU
rnacentral:rRNA from 1 species